AACGUAGGGGACAAGCGUUAUCCGGAUUUACUGGGCGUAAAGCGCCCGUAGGCGGCCUGACAAGUUGGACGUGAAAGCUCCUGGCUUAACUGGGAGAGGCCGUUCAAAACUGUCAAGCUAGAGCCUGGAAGAGGAGAGCGGAAUUCCCGGUGUAGUGGUGGAAUGCGUAGAGAUCGGGAGGAACACCAGUGGCGAAAGCGGCUCUCUGGUCCAAAACUGACGCUGAGGGGCGAAAGCGUGGGGAGCGAACGGG
rnacentral:rRNA from 1 species